GCACUUCGUGAUCAAUUCUAAUUCAAGUUGCUGGUGCAGAUUCCUCACAUACUUCGUUCCAAGUGCGUUCAGUUUGUACGUGUCGUGAGAUUCAUAUAAGUGAAAUGGCGAAAACGCGAUCCAAGUAUAUUUCAGUAGGUGAAAGAAAAAUGCGGGCGGCGGCGAAUGAAAAAAAAUUAGACUUUGUACUGAAUUCUCCCAAAAUUGAAACCGUUUACAAAGGAAAAAACAAAUGUGGUAACAAAAUGGCUGCCAAACCUCUUAACACUAGUCUUCAGUGUGCUUACUCUACCAAAAAGGAAAAAACAUUGGGAAAGGUAUCUUAAAAAAGCAAUCGAGCGUUGAUAUCAAGCCGAAUAAGAUUAAAGAUGUGAAUAUAAGAGCUUUACCUAAAUCGAAAAGUCGGGAUGCCAAGGUCCUCAAAAAAGAAAGCGAAGUGCUGGAAACCAAGUCGAGUGAAUCUUCUACUAUGCCUGAGGAGGAAUAUUGAGAAAAUAUGAACGGUUCCCUACAUGAAUUUACCGAACAUAAUAACUCUAUUGAAGAAAUAAUGACUGUUUUUGAUAGUGAUAUAGAAGCCGAAAAUAGUUCCGAAAACGACGAUGCCAGAAAAAUUGAAAAUAUGACAAAAAAAUCAAAGACUUGAAGGAAAAAAAUAUAAAAUUAAAAAAAGCUUACGAUAAAGCACUGGAAAGAAUAUUUAGAUUGACGGAUAUUCUUAUCUCGAAAGUUUGUGGAGAGCCGACCGAAAACGUAUUUACAGAAGUACCUGGGUUCCCGGAUAGAACUACAUUAAAAAGAUUUUUAGAAGCUGCAACAAGUGAUUUUGUUUUUGUUAAGCUCAUGAUGAAAGAGCUAUGGCCAAAUGGCUUGAAAAACAAGUCCGUAACCGGUCGUGCUUCAAACAACCCUUAUGGUUGGCCAUCGCGAAAACGGCCAUUAAAUCCACUCGUACAAAUUGAGCCACGCGAACAACUUCACCAGAAAAAGUCAAAUACAUUGGAGACCGUUUUAUACUUCCGGUUUCCGAAAAACAGCGGCAAAUGACCAAAUACCACCCAAUAUGCGUAUUUACGUAAUGUUUAUGAUGCACUGAAGCCACAAAUCGACCUAUCAACCUCAGACAACAUUUUGAAUUGUAAGAUGGCGACUUCCGGUGUCUGGAAAACAGCCGAAAAUGACCAAAUACCACCCAAUAUGAGUGUUUCUUUAACCAGAAUGACGCUCAAAAGCCAAAAACUGUCCCCUAAUGCCAUUUUAAAAUUCAAGAUGGCGACUUCCGGUUUCUGAAAAACAGCGGCAAAUGAUCAAAUACCACCCAAUAAAGGUAUUUCCGGAAUUGUUAUGACGCACUGAAGCCACAAAUCGACCUCAGACAACCUUUUUGAAUUGUAAGAUGGCGACUUCCGGUGUCUGGAAAACAGCUGAAAAUGGCCAAAUACCACCCAAUAUGAGCGUUUCUUUAACCAGAUUGACGCACGGAGGCCAGAAAUUGUUCCCAAAUGCAAAUCCAAGACGGCGACUUCCGGUUUCCAAAAAACAGCGGCAAAUCCAAAUACCACCCAAUAUGCGUUUUUACGGAAUUGUUAUGAUGCACUGAAGCCUCAAAUCGACCUCAGACAACAUUUUGAAUUGUAAGAUGGCGACUUCCGGUGUCUGCAAAACAGCCAAAAAUGACAAAAUACCACCCAAUAUGAGUGUUUCUUCAACCAGAAUGACGCUCAGGGGUCAGAAAUUGUCUCCAAAUGCCAUUUUAAAAUCCAAGAUGGCGACUCAUGGUUUCUGAAAAAUAGCCUGAAGUGGCCAAAUACCACCCAAUAUGUGUAUCACCGGAUCCAGAAUGAUGCAAGGAGCUAAAAAUUAACCUCAGAUACCAGUUUGAAUUGUAAAAUGGCAACUUUUGGGAAACAGCCGAUGUGUCCGUAAUUGAAAUGAUGUAAAGAAGCCAAGCAUUGACCCUGGACACCAUUUUGAAUUCGAAGAUGACCACUUUCAGUUCCUAAAAAACUACAAAAAUAACUGAAAUGCAUUCAAUAUAUUUCCGGAAUAGAGGUAAUGUACAAAAGCCAAAAGUCGAGGAUGUUGUCAUUCCGAUAAAACCAAUCAUUUCAAAUGAUAUAAACAAAUCGCAAGGAAUCAAUGAAUUUAAAUUGUUUCAAAUUAAUCAAUUGAACACUAAAGUAUGCGAGACGCAGUUUGCCGGGUCAGCUAGUGCUAGAAUAAAUCUUUUACCAUCUUUGGGUUCAGAAGACUCUGAAAAUAUAGAGCUUGGAAAUUGAAGAGCUAAGUUGAAACCUAC